AUUGAACGCUGGCGGCAGGCCUAACACAUGCAAGUCGAGCGGCAGCGGGAAAGUAGCUUGCUACUUUUGCCGGCGAGCGGCGGACGGGUGAGUAAUGCCUGGGGAUCUGCCCGGUCGAGGGGGAUAACAGUUGGAAACGACUGCUAAUACCGCAUACGCCCUACGGGGGAAAGGAGGGGACCUUCGGGCCGUUCGCGAUUGGAUGAACCCAGGUGGGAUUAGCUAGUUGGUGGGGUAAUGGCUCACCAAGGCGACGAUCCCUAGCUGGUCUGGAAGGAUGAUCAGCCACACUGGAACUGAGACACGGUCCAGACUCCUACGGGAGGCAGCAGUGGGGAAUAUUGCACAAUGGGGGAAACCCUGAUGCAGCCAUGCCGCGUGUGUGAAGAAGGCCUUCGGGUUGUAAAGCACUUUCAGCGAGGAGGAAAGGUUGUUGGCUAAUAUCCAGCAACUGUGACGUUACUCGCAGAAGAAGCACCGGCUAACUCCGUGCCAGCCGCCGCAGUAA
rnacentral:rRNA from 1 species